AACGCGAAGAACCUUACCUACCCUUGACAUACAGUGAAUUUUGCAGAGAUGUGAAAGUGCCUUCGGGAACACUGAUACAGGUGCUGCAUGGCUGUCGUCAGCUCGUGUCGUGAGAUGUUGGGUUAAGUCCCGUAACGAGCGCAACCCUUGUCCUUAGUUGCCAGCGCGUAAAGGCGGGAACUUUAAGGAGACUGCCGGUGACAAACCGGAGGAAGGCGGGGACGACGUCAAGUCAUCAUGGCCCUUACGGGUAGGGCUACACACGUGCUACAAUGGCCGAUACAGAGGGCAGCGAAGGGGCGACCUGGGGCAAAUCUCAAAAAGUCGGUCGUAGUCCGGAUUGGAGUCUGCAACUCGACUCCAUGAAGUCGGAAUCGCUAGUAAUCGUGAAUCAGCAUGUCACGGUGAAUACGUUCCCGGGCCUUGUACACACCGCUGUA
rnacentral:rRNA from 1 species